rnacentral:rRNA from 1 species
UACGGGGGGGGCAAGCGUUGUUCGGAAUUGCUGGGCGUAAAGGGCCAGUAGGCGGCCAACUAAGUCGGAUGUGAAAUCCCCAGGCUUAACCUGGGAACUGCAUCCGAUACUGGAUGGCUUGAAUUCGGGAGAGGGAUGCAGAAUUCCAGGUGUAGCGGUGAAAUGCGUAGAUAUCUGGAGGAAUACCGGUGGCGAAGGCGGCAUCCUGGACCGACAUUGACGCUGAACGGCGAAAGCUAGGGGAGCAAACGGG